rnacentral:rRNA from 1 species
CACGUAGUUAGCCGUGGCUUUCUCAUCUGGUACCGUCAUUAUCGUCCCAGAAAACAGGGUUUUACGAUCCGAAAACCUUCAUCACCCACGCGGCGUUGCUGCGUCAGGGUUUCCCCCAUUGCGCAAUAUUCCCCACUGCUGCCUCCCGUAGGAGUCUGGACCGUGUCUCAGUUCCAAUGUGGCCGAUCACCCUCUCAGGUCGGCUACCCAUCGUUGCCUUGGUAAGCCAUUACCUUACCAACUAGCUAAUGGGCCGCGGGCCCAUCUCAAAGCAGAUUACUCCUUUGGUUAAAGUUUCAUGCGAAACUCUAACUUUAUGCGGUAUUAAUCCUCCUUUCGGAGGGCUAUUCCCCUCUUUGAGGCAGGUUACCCACGUGUUACUCACCCGUCCGCCGCUAAUCCACUUCCCGAAGGAGCUUCAUCGCUCGACUUGCAUGUGUUAAGCACGCCGCCAGCGUCGUCUGAGCAGGAUCAAACUCU